rnacentral:rRNA from 1 species
UACGUAGGGGCCUAGCGUUGUCCGGAAUUACUGGGCGUAAAGAGCUCGUAGGUGGUUUGUCGCGUUGUUCGUGAAAACUCACAGCUCAACUGUGGGCGUGCGGGCGAUACGGGCAGACUAGAGUACUGCAGGGGAGACUGGAAUUCCUGGUGUAGCGGUGGAAUGCGCAGAUAUCAGGAGGAACACCGGUGGCGAAGGCGGGUCUCUGGGCAGUAACUGACGCUGAGGAGCGAAAGCGUGGGGAGCGAACAGG